rnacentral:rRNA from 1 species
AACGAACGCUGGCGGCAUGCCUAACACAUGCAAGUCGGACGGAUGCAGCAAUCCAUCAGUGGCAGACGGGUGAGUAACCCGUGGGAAUCUACCCAGUUGCCUGGAAUAACGGCGGGAAACUGCGGCUAAUACCGGAUACGCCCAUCGGGGGACAGGAGCAACCGCCUAAUGGAGGAGCCCGCGUCCGAUUAGCUAGUUGGUGAGGUAACGGCUAACCAAGGCGAUGAGCGGGAGCGGGGUUGAGAGAAGGACCAGCCACACUGGGACAGAGACACAGCCAAGACGCCUACGGGAGGCAGGGGUGAGGAAUAUUGGACACUGGGGGAAACCCUGAUCCAGGAAUGCCACGUGGGUGAUGAAGGCCGCCGGGUUGUAAAGCCCGGUAGGAGGGGACGAUGAUGACGGUACCCGCAGGAGAAGCACCGGAUAACAUCGUGCAGGCAGCAGCCGCAGUAA